AACGAACGCUGGCGGCAUGCCUAACACAUGCAAGUCGAACGAGACCUUCGGGUCUAGUGGCGCACGGGUGCGUAACGCGUGGGAACCUGCCCUUAGGUUCGGAAUAACUCCCCGAAAGGGGUGCUAAAUACCGGAUAAUGUCUUCGGACCAAAGAUUUAUCGCCUUUGGAUGGGCCCGCGUUGGAUUAGCUAGUUGGUAGGGUAAAAGCCUACCAAGGCGACGAUCCAUAGCUGGUCUGAGAGGAUGAUCAGCCACACUGGGACUGAGACACGGCCCAGACUCCUACGGGAGGCAGCAGUGGGGAAUAUUGGACAAUGGGCGAAAGCCUGAUCCAGCAAUGCCGCGUGAGUGAUGAAGGCCUUAGGGUUGUAAAGCUCUUUUACCCGGGAUGAUAAUGACAGUACCGGGAGAAUAAGCUCCGGCUAACUCCGUG
rnacentral:rRNA from 1 species